GGCAAGGUGGCCGAGUGGUCUAAGGCGCACGGUUCAGGCUAACUGAAUCAACUUGAGAAUUCUGUAAAGAUUUCCAAUUCCGUGUCAUGAAAAUGGCGUGGGUUCGAAUCCCACCCUUGUCA